GGUUUGACGAGAGCUGUGCUGUCUCUUUUGAAAUAUUUAGAAAUUAACUUCUAGGUGAAGAGGCCUAGAUUUAUUUAAGGGACAAGAAGACCCUGUUGAGCUUUAGUGAUGUUGUAAAUAAGAAAAAGUAUUUAUUACUAAUUGUUAUGUAUUUAUUAUAGUAAAAAUUUACAAAUAAUCUUUAGUUGGGGCGACUGAGGAACAUGAAAAGCUUCCUUAAAAUAAAAUUAUUUAAAUAAUUAAAUAAAUGUCGAUGCUUACAUGUUAUUUUGAUCCAAAUUAUUUUGAUUAAAGGAAAAAGUUACCACAGGGAUAACAGCGUAAUCUUUCUGGAGAGAUCUUAUCGAAAGAAGGGUUUGCGACCUCGAUGUUGGACUAAGAUAUCCUAAGGGUGCAGAAGUUCUUAAAGGUUGGUCUGUUCGACCAUUAAAAUCUU
rnacentral:rRNA from 1 species